GUCCUGGCCCUAAACGGUGCACGUUUGCUGUAAGAGGAAUCGACCCCUUUUGUGGCGAAGCUAACGCGUUAAACGUGCCGCCUGGGAAGUACGGCCGCAAGGUUAAAACUCAAAGAAAUUGACGGGGGCCUGCACAAGCGGUGGAGUAUGUGGCUUAAUUCGAUGCAACGCGAAGAACCUUACCUGGCCUUGACAUGUAUGUAGUAGAACCCUGAAAGGGGGACGAGGUAGCAAUACCAGCAUGCACAGGUGCUGCAUGGCUGUCGU
rnacentral:rRNA from 1 species